CUACGUGCCAGCAGCCGCGGUAAUACGUAGGUGGCAAGCGUUGUCCGGAAUUAUUGGGCGUAAAGCGCGCGCAGGCGGAUCAGUCAGUCUGUCUUAAAAGUUCGGGGCUUAACCCCGUGAUGGGAUGGAAACUGCUGAUCUAGAGUAUCGGAGAGGAAAGUGGAAUUCCUAGUGUAGCGGUGAAACGCGUAGAUAUUAGGAAGAACACCAGUGGCGAAGGCGACUUUCUGGACGAAAACUGACGCUGAGGCGCGAAAGCCAGGGGAGCGAACGGGAUUAGAUACCCCGGUAGUCCUGGCCGUAAACGAUGGGUACUAGGUGUAGGAGGUAUCGACCCCUUCUGUGCCGGAGUUAACGCAAUAAGUACCCCGCCUGGGGAGUACGACCGCAAGGUUGAAACUCAAAGGAAUUGACGGGGGCCCGCACAAGCGGUGGAGUAUGUGGUUUAAUUCGGCGCAACGCGAAGAACCUUACCAGGUCUUGACAU
rnacentral:rRNA from 1 species